UACAGGGGGGGCAAGCGUUGUUCGGAAUUACUGGGCGUAAAGGGCUCGUAGGCGGCCAACUAAGUCCGACGUGAAAUCCCAAAGCUUAACUUUGGAACUGCGUCGGAUACUGGAUGGCUUGAAUUCGGGAGAGGGAUGCAGAAUUCCAGGUGUAGCGGUGAAAUGCGUAGAUAUCUGGAGGAACACCGGUGGCGAAGGCGGCAUCCUGGACCGGCAUUGACGCUGGGGCGCGAAAGCUAGGGGAGCAAACGGG
rnacentral:rRNA from 1 species